AAAUAAUAUAAAAAUAUUUUAAUCAUUGCAUAUUCUUAACUAUAUAAACUCACGAGCUUUCGAGCUCGAAUAAAAAGUUGUUCAAGCCCAAGCUCGUUAAGCUAACGAGCAUCAUCUCAAUCUCAAGCUCAAGCUUGAAAGCUCAUUGAGCUUGACUCAUCGAGCUUCUUAAUGAGCCGAACACGAAUUUGCUCACAAACAGUUCGACUCAUUAACACCAGCCACC
rnacentral:lncRNA from 1 species